rnacentral:rRNA from 1 species
AUUGAACGCUGGCGGCAGGCCUAACACAUGCAAGUCGAACGAGUGGCGGACGGGUGAGUAAUGUCUGGGAAACUGCCCGAUGGAGGGGGAUAACUACUGGAAACGGUAGCUAAUACCGCAUACCAUCGGAUGUGCCCAGCUGGGAUUAGCUUGUAGGUGAGGUAACGGCUCACCUAGGCGACGAUCCCUAGCUGGUCUGAGAGGAUGACCAGUCACACUGGAACUGAGACACGGUCAAGACGCGUACGGGAGGCAGGAGUGGUGAAUAUUGCAAAAUGGGCGAAAGCCUGAUGCAUCCAUGCCGCGUGUAUGAAGAAGGCCUUCGGGUUGUAAAGUACUUUCAGCGGGGAGGCGUUACCCGCAGAAGAAGCACCUGCUAACUCCGUGCCAGCAGCCGCGGUAAUAC